rnacentral:rRNA from 1 species
CAGCAGCCGCGGUAAUACGAAGUGUGCAAGCGUUACUCGGAAUUACUGGGCGUAAAGCGUGCGUAGGUGGUGGUUUAAGUCCGUUGUGAAAGCCCUGGGCUCAACCUGGGAAUUGCAGUGGAUACUGGGUCACUAGAGUGUGGUAGAGGAUAGUGGAAUUUCCGGUGUAGCAGUGAAAUGCGUAGAGAUCGGAAGGAACAUCUGUGGCGAAGGCGACUAUCUGGGCCAACACUGACACUGAGGCACGAAAGCGUGGGGAGCAAACAGGAUUAGAUACCCCGGUAGUCCCUGUCUCUUAUAC